GCCAGUGUGGUGUAGUGGUUUGAACACUGGACUGUGACUCAGCAGAGAGGGGAUCAAAUCCCAGCUCAGCCA